rnacentral:rRNA from 1 species
CUGGUUGAUCCUGCCAGUAGUCAUAUGCUUGUCACAAAGAUUAAGCCAUGCAUGUACAAGUUCACACCUUCAAACGGUGAAACCGCGAAUGGCUCAUUAAAUCAGCUAUGGUUCCUUAGAUCUUAUAUCCUUACUUGGAUAACUGUAGUAAUUCUAGAGCUAAUACAUGCCAAAAAGCCCUGAUUUGUUAAAAGUUGGGGCGGAUUUAUUAGAACAAAACCAACCGGUUGGCAACAACCGUUGUUUGAUGACUCUGGAUAACUUUUCUGAUCGCACGGCCUUGUGCCAGCGACGUAUCUUUCAAGUGUCUGACCUAUCAACUAUCGAUGGUAGGUGAUAUGCCUACCAUGGUGAUAACGGGUAACGGGGAAUCAGGGUUCGAUUCCGGAGAGGGAGCCUUAGAAAUGGCUACCACAUCUAAGGAAGGCAGCAGGCGCGCAAAUUACCCACUCUCAGCUCGAGGAGGUAGUGACGAGAAAUAACAAUACGGGACUCUUAUGAGGCCCCGUAAUUGGAAUGAGUACAAUUUAAAUCGUUUAACGAGUACCAAUUGGAGGGCAAGUCUGGUGCCAGCAGCCGCGGUAACUCCAGCUCCAAUAGCGUAUAUUAAAGUUGCUGCAGUUAAAAAGCUCGUAGUUGGAUCUCAGGCCAGAAGCUAGUGGUUCGCCUUGCGGUGUGACUGCUAGUUUCGCCUCAUCAGUCGUAUGCUAUCUCACGUGCUCUUCACCGGGUGCGUGAGAUGCUCGGCACGUUUACUUUGAACAAAUUAGAGUGCUCAAAGCAGGCCUUGUGCUUGAAUACUUAUGCAUGGAAUAAUGGAAUAGGACUUCGUUUCUAUUUUGUUGGUUUUCGGUUACGAAGUAAUGAUUAAAAGAGACAGACGGGGGCAUCUGUAUGGUGGUGUUAGGGGUGAAAUCCAUUGAUCGCCGCCAGACAAACAACUGCGAAAGCAUUUGCCAAGGAUGUUUUCAUUAAUCAAGAACGAAAGUCAGAGGUUCGAAGACGAUCAGAUACCGUCCUAGUUCUGACCAUAAACGAUGCCAACUGACAAUCGGGGUCUACAAAUCGAUUUUACCCUGGCAGUCUCUGGGAAACCUUUAAGUCUACAGGUUCUGGGGGAAGUAUGGUUGCAAGGCUGAAACUUAAAGGAAUUGACGGAAGGGCACCACCAGGAGUGGAGCCUGCGGCUUAAUUUGACUCAACACGGGAAAACUCACCCGGCCCGGACACUGUGAGGAUUGACAGAUUGAUAGCUCUUUCUUGAUUCAGUGGGUGGUGGUGCAUGGCCGUUCUUAGUUGGUGGAGUGAUUUGUCAGGUUAAUUCCGAUAACGAACGAGACUCUAGCCUGCUAAAUAGUUCACACAUGCCCAGCUGUGUUUGUGAACUUCUUAGAGGGAUACGUUGCGUAGAGCGACAUGAAAUUGAGCAAUAACAGGUCUGUGAUGCCCUUAGAUGUUCGGGGCCGCACGCGCGCUACACUGACGAUAUCAAUGAGUAUCAUCCUGGACUGAGAAGUUUGGGAAAUCUUAUGAAUUAUCGUCAUGUCAGGGAUUGGGGUUUGUAAUUAUCCCCCAUGAACGAGGAAUUCCCAGUAAGCGCAAGUCAUAAGCUUGCGCUGAUUACGUCCCUGCCCUUUGUACACACCGCCCGUCGCUACUACCGAUUGAAUGGUUUGGUGAGGCCUUUGGAUUGAAUCUCUGAAGUGUGCAAACGCUUUAGGUGAUUUGAGAAAAUCGUCAAACUUGAUCAUUUAGAGGAAGUAAAAGUCGUAACAAGGUUUCCGUAGGUGAACCUGCAG